rfam:Vigna angularis cultivar Jingnong 6 chromosome 8, whole genome shotgun sequence.
CCGACCUUAGCUCAGUUGGUAGAGCGGAGGACUGUAGUGGUUGAAAUCUCAGAUAUCCUUAGGUCGCUGGUUCGAAUCCGGCAGGUCGGA